rnacentral:lncRNA from 1 species
AACGGGGCAUCAAGGCGAUGGAGUAUUUAGUGUCUAUUAUCAGAUCGGGUUCUCACUGCGCCUACGGGUAGUCCUUAAAUUCCCUAAAUUUUUUCUGGAAAACUGAAACACAUUUUCGAUACCUGCACAUGUCCCCAAAAAAGCCUAAAUCACACCCAGGGCCCUUUCGACCAAUAUUGGAAUUCUGGCACGACGGCUCCGUUGUGCUCCGGCAAUGGCACCGCCGCCCACAGCGGCGAU